rnacentral:lncRNA from 1 species
UUUGAAUGUUUGGUUUAAAUAGUAUAAUAAUAAUGAAAAUAGACUUAAAAUAAGAUAAUAGUGAUAAAUAAUUUUUUUAUAUUUUAUAUUUUAUAUUUUGGAUAAAAAUGAAUAAAAAUAAAUAAAAUAAUUAUUAAAAAAAUAGUUGAUAAAAAAACGAAAAUAAAAAAUAAAAAACAUAAUUUUUUUGAAUAUAAUAAUACUAAAA